UACAGGGGGUGCAAACGUUGCUCGGAAUCAUUGGGCGUAAAGCGCACGUAGGCGGUUCGUUAUGUCGGAUGUGAAAGCCCUUGGCUUAACCGAGGAAGUGCAUCCGAAACUGGCGAGCUAGAGUACGAAAGAGGGUCGCGGAAUUCCCGGUGUAGAGGUGAAAUUCGUAGAUAUCGGGAGGAACACCGGUGGCGAAGGCGGCGAUCUGGGUCGAUACUGACACUGAGGUGCGAAAGCGUGGGGAGCAAACAGG
rnacentral:rRNA from 1 species